UACAGAGGGGGCAAGCGUUGUUCGGAAUUACUGGGCGUAAAGGGCGCGUAGGCGGCCUUCUAAGUCGAACGUGAAAUCCCCGGGCUCAACCCGGGAACUGCGUCCGAUACUGGAAGGCUUGAAUCCGGGAGAGGGAUGCGGAAUUCCAGGUGUAGCGGUGAAAUGCGUAGAUAUCUGGAGGAACACCGGUGGCGAAGGCGGCAUCCUGGACCGGUAUUGACGCUGAGGCGCGAAAGCCAGGGGAGCAAAGC
rnacentral:rRNA from 1 species